rnacentral:rRNA from 1 species
UUAAGCAUAUCAAUAAGCGGAGGAAAAGAAACCAACAGGGAUUGCCUCAGUAACGGCGAGUGAAGCGGCAACAGCUCAAAUUUGAAAUCUGGCUCCCUCGCGGGGCCCGAGUUGUAAUUUGCAGAGGAUGCUUCGGGCGUGGCCACGGCGUAAGUGCCUUGGAACAGGCUGUCACAGAGGGUGAGAAUCCCGUCUGCAGUCGUCGGUUCACGCCCGUGUGAAGCUCCUUCGACGAGUCGAGUUGUUUGGGAAUGCAGCUCUAAGUGGGUGGUAAAUUUCAUCUAAAGCUAAAUACUGGCCGGAGACCGAUAGCGCACAAGUAGAGUGAUCGAAAGGUUAAAAGCACCUUGAAAAGGGAGUUAAAAAGCACGUGAAAUUGUUGAAAGGGAAGCGCUUGCGACCAGACUCGGCCGCGUGGGUUCAGCGGGCAUUCGUGCCCGUGCACUCCCGCGCGGCCGGGCCAGCAUCAGUUCUGACGGCCGGUCAAAGGCCCCCGGAAGGUGUCGCCCCUCGGGGCGUCUUAUAGCCGGGGGUGCAAUGCGGCCAGUUGGGACUGAGGAACGCGCUUCGGCUCGGAUGCUGGCGUAAUGGUCGUAAGCGGCCCGUCUUGAAACACGGACCAAGGAGUCUAACAUCCACGCGAGUGUUCGGGUGUCAAACCCGUGCGCGCAGUGAAAGCGAACGGAGGUGAGAUCCCUCUUUGGGGGGCGCAUCAUCGACCGAUCCUGAAGUCUUCGGAUGGAUUUGAGUAAGAGCGUGGCUGUGGGGACCCGAAAGAUGGUGAACUAUGCCUGAAUAGGGUGAAGCCAGAGGAAACUCUGGUGGAGGCUCGCAGCGGUUCUGACGUGCAAAUCGAUCGUCAAAUUUGGGCAUAGGGGCGAAAGACUAAUCGAACCAUCUAGUAGCUGGUUCCUGCCGAAGUUUCCCUCAGGAUAGCAGUAACGUUUUCAGUUUUAUGGGGUAGAGCGAAUGAUUAGAGGCCUUGGGGUUGAAACAACCUUAACCUAUUCUCAAACUUCGAAUAUGUAAGAAGCCCUUGUUACUUAGGUGAACGUGGGCAUUAGAAUGGAUCGUUACUAGUGGGCCAUUUUUGGUAAGCAGAACUGGCGAUGCGGGAUGAACCGAACGCGAGGUUAAGGUGCCGGAAUGCACGCUCAUCAGACACCACAAAAGGUGUUAGUUCAUCUAGACAGCCCGACGGUGGCCAUGGAAGUCGGAACCCGCUAAGGAGUGUGUAACAACUCACGGGCCGAAUGAACUAGCCCUGAAAAUGGAUGGCGCUUAAGCGUGUUACCUAUACCUCGCCGUCGGGGCAGAACUGACGCCCCGACGAGUAGGCAGGCGUGGGGGUCCGUGACGAAGCCCUGGGAGUGAUCCCGGGUCGAACGGCCCCUAGUGCAGAUCUUGGUGGUAGUAGCAAAUACUCAAAUGAGAACUUUGAGGACUGAAGUGGGGAAAGGUUCCAUGUGAACAGCAGUUGGACAUGGGUUAGUCGACCCUAAGACAUAGGGAAGUUCCGUUUCAAAGCGCGCCCUGGUGCGCCGUUCGUCGAAAGGGAAGCCGGUUAAUAUUCCGGCACCUGGAUGUGGAUUCUUCACGGCAACGUAACUGAACGUGGAGACGUCGGCGGGGGUCCUGGGAAGAGUUAUCUUUUCUUCUUGACGGCCUAUCACCCUGAAAUCGGUUUGUCCGGAGCUAGGGUUCCACGGCCGGCAGAGCCCCGCACCUUCGCGGGGUCCGGUGCGCCCCCGACGACCCUUGAAAAUCCGCGGGAAGGAAUAGUUUUCACGCCAGGUCGUACUCAUAACCGCAGC